rnacentral:rRNA from 1 species
UACAGAGGUCUCAAGCGUUGUUCGGAUUCAUUGGGCGUAAAGGGUGCGUAGGUGGCGGGGUAAGUCAGGUGUGAAAUCUCGGAGCUCAACUCCGAAACUGCACUUGAUACUGCCUUGCUCGAGUACCGGAGAGGAGAUUGGAAUUUACGGUGUAGCAGUGAAAUGCGUAGAUAUCGUAAGGAAGACCAGUGGCGAAGGCGAAUCUCUGGACAGUUACUGACACUGAGGCACGAAGGCCAGGGGAGCAAACGGG